rnacentral:rRNA from 1 species
UAAGGAAUAUUGGUCAAUGGGCGAAAGCCUGAACCAGCCACGCCGCGUGAAGGAAGACGGCCCUACGGGUUGUAAACUUCUUUUCUACGGGAAUAAACCUCAGGACGUGUCCUGAGCUGAAGGUACCGUAGGAAUAAGGAUCGGCUAACUCCGUGCCAGCAGCCGCGGUAAUACGGAGGAUCCAAGCGUUAUCCGGAUUUAUUGGGUUUAAAGGGUGCGUAGGUGGAAUUAUAAGUCAGAGGUGAAAGCUAGCAGCUUAACUGUUAAAUUGCCUUUGAUACUGUUUUUCUUGAGUGUAGUUGGCGUUGGCGGAAUGUGACAUGUAGCGGUGAAAUGCGUAGAUAUGUCACAGAACACCGAUCGCGAAGGCAGCUAACGAAGCUAUCACUGACACUGAUGCACGAAAGCGUGGGGAGCAAACAG